CAGAGGAUAGUUUAUUGUAAAAUAUUAAUUUUGGGAAUUAAUGAGAAAGUAUAUACUUUUUCUCUGA
rnacentral:tRNA from 1 species